GGUAGCGUAGCCGAGCGGUCUAAGGCGCUGGUUUAAGGCACCAGUCUCCGCGGAGGCGUGGGUUCGAAUCCCACCGCUGCCA
rnacentral:tRNA from 1 species